GGGGUUGUAGCUCAGUGGUAGGGCACUUGCCUCACAUACGUGAGGCCCUGGGUUCAAUCCUCAGCACCA
rfam:Ictidomys tridecemlineatus contig024564, whole genome shotgun sequence.